ACCGCGGUACGCAACUGGCGAUAGGCGCGGCCCACCGAGCGGCCGGCGCCGACGUGGACAUCAGCACAGGGGCUGCCUGAAGCGGGCAGCCGAUUGUUCCACCACGGGGAAGCGUGCCGCCGGGGUCUUCCGGUGUUCAGCCGUUCGCCUGGGCAGCCCUU
rnacentral:ncRNA from 3 species